AGCAGCCGCGGUAAUUCCAGCUCCAAUAGCGUAUAUUAAAGUUGUUGCAGUUAAAAAGCUCGUAGUUGAAUUUCGGGGUUCCACCGUUGGUCGGGCUAUUGUCUGUACUGGCGUGUGGAAUUUCUACCUUCUGGGAAACUAUCAUGUUAUUAAUUUAGCGUGGUAGGAAACCAGGACCUUUACCUUGAAAAAAUUAGAGUGUUCAAAGCAGGCUUAUGUCUGAAUACAUUAGCAUGGAAUAAUAAAAUAGGACGGUGGUCCUGUUUUGUUGGUUUCUGAAUCACCGUAAUGAUUAAUAGGGAUAGUUGGGGGCAUUAGUAUUCAAUUGUCAGAGGUGAAAUUCUUGGAUUUAUUGAAGGCUAACUACUGCGAAAGCAUUUGCCAAGGAUGUUUUCAUUAAUCAAGAACGAAAGUUAGGGGAUCGAAGACGAUCAGAUACCGUCGUAGUCUUAACCAUAAACUAUGCCGACUAGGGAUCGGAUGAUGUUAAUUUUAUAAUGACUCAUUCGGCGCCUUACGG
rnacentral:rRNA from 1 species